rnacentral:tRNA from 2 species
GCGGGAGUGGCGGAAUGGCAGACGCAGCAGGUUUAGGUCCUGCCGCCCUAGGGCGUGGGGGUUCAAGUCCCCCCUCCCGCA